rnacentral:misc_RNA from 1 species
GCUGUUAUCUAGUCCGCAGCGGAACGUAGCCAUCACGAGUGGGCGCAGCGCCUGACACAAAAGUAUCGAUCCGAAGCCAAUGCUCUGGUGCAGGCGCUAUGUUCCUGACCCACUUGCUUAUUCCUGCUGAGCCUGAUAUGGAAGCUGUGCUAACCCUUUUCAAUGGAGUCUCGUCGCUGCCUUUAUAGUGCUCAAAUAAUGGCUACAGAAAUAUAUCAGGACGUAACAGUGACUGAUGUUUACGACCAAGCGGCGGGUAUCGCUAGAGAGUUUGAUAAACUCAUAAAUAAUUACGGUAAUGAUGCUGUCACAGAAUUGAUGCCCAAAGUGAUUCGAGCCCUAGAGCAGCUGGAAUCCCUCGCUACCCGUUUUGAAAGAGACAACGAUGAAAUCGCGCAACUGAGGUCAACAGUUGAGAAGCUUGAAUUAGAGAAAACAGGAAAAGCGCAGGAGCGUGCUAAGUUUGAGCAGGAGAUGGAACAGACAGAAGAGAACUGGAAGACAGAAGUGAGAGAACUAUUGACAGUGGUGGGUAAACUUCAAGAAGAGAACAAGAGGUUGAAGGAGACACUCCAUUAUGAGAAGUAUUCUGUAGCCGAAAAGGUUUCAGCAAAGCACCGAGAGACUGAGGAACAAGAGAUCAAAGUCCUCACAAAGCUGAAAGAAACUGUGGACAAGCAGAGGGAGGAGCUGCGCUCAUUGAAGCAUGAACUUUCAGAAAAAGCAAUGGACUGUGAUGCACUGCAAGCCCAGGUGGAGCAAAUAGCCAAAGUGAACACCGACCUGAGGAGGAAAAACAACACACAGAGAAAACAAGCCCGAGCCUUGCUGGAAGAGAAGUCUGAGCUGGAGAUAGCCUUGCGAGAGAAAGAUGCUGAGGUGGACAAGGUCAAGAUCAUGCUUUCCGAGCAAGAGAAAUUUGAAGAGCAGAGAGCAGCUGUACGAGCUGCCAUACAGGAGCAGAGAGAAAGCGAAGAGCGAACUGAAGAAGAGGAGGAUUCUCCUUUCUCAGAUGAUGUCACUGCAACAGUUAUGACAGAUUCUUCAACAACAGCCACAUCUUCAUCCCCUGAAAUUGACCGUCGGACAGCUUCCGUGAACUCAUUAGGGUUGGACUUGGAAGGCAAACUGAUCAUUGACAUGAAAGAUCCCAACCGCCCACGAUUUACGAUGCAAGAGUUGCGACAGGUGCUUUUUGAACGCAAUGAGCUGAAGACGCGACUCUUCGAGGUAGAGGAAGAACUCAAUCACUAUCGCCCACGAAAUCCUGGUGCACCAGAGGAUGAAAAUCAAGAUGAAUCGAAAUCCUCUUACUCAGGUGAAGAAGUGCUGGUGUAUGGGCCCAUUAACAAGGAACCCGAUGAAAAGCUUUUUGGACGCAAAGAAUCUGGCAUCAGGAAAUUAUUUUUAUCCUUGCUUGAGGCUGGGUUAGAUCUGUUAGGAGACACCUCAGAUAUUCAAAUACCUCCUCCUGCAGCAGCUCCAGAAACGGUGCCCCUGAAUACAGUUAGGACCUAUAGGCAGCUCUCCUGCUUUGGUCAGCCAACAGGCUCCAAAGAAACCAUGUUUUGAUCUGGCACCACUGUGUGGGCAGCCUUCACACCUACCUAGAGUGUUUUGAGUUUUGAUUUUUUGUUUGGGAAUGGUCCCUCACCACCCAAGGGCAGAGUUCAGAGAUCCAACACGUUCAUGAACUGACAUGCAGUCGUUCGCCAUGUGUCACCGACACCAAGGAGCAUUUGUACCACCAUCACUUCAGCCAUUGCGUUGUUGGUGACGAUGCACAACAUUCCUUCUCAAGUGCCUGCAAAGUCGACGACAAGGCUGAUAUAGGCAUGGUCUUUUUCCAGCCAGCUGCACUGUGGGAAAAUGACAGCCAAUAGAGAGGACAUCACUGAAAAUUCUGUUUGAUCUUCAACUGUCUGCAUUGUCAGGAAAUGGCUAGCUUCAGACAAGUUUAUACAAACUGAAUACUGUUUAUCGUCUGCUCUACACAACAUAGAUAAAAGAACAAAGGUUUAUCACCCUGAGAGAUUAACAUUAUAAUAACAUUUCUUUUUUGGUUUUUUCUUGCAAGCCUCUGGAUGGGCUGCAGAAAAUAUUUACUACCCAAAAUGCUCUUGAUUUGGUACCUGAUUUGCGAGCAGUUCAAAUAUUCAUCGCUCUUACACCUGUUGCAUCACAACAUAGCUGACGUCUCUUAUGUUGCUGUAGGGAUGUUGGUUUCAUGAAACUUUAUUCAUGCCAACCAGUGCAUUGUGGAUUCCAAAAUUAUCUACACAAGAUCAACAGAUUUAAGAAAGGAAGCUGUCAAAUCUGUCAGCCCCACUCUCUCUCUCCGAGAAGGUUCACAUUAAUAUAGUGUGGCUAGACAUUUCCCAUGCUGUGCACAAAACGGUGAAACUUUGUUGCCCUUGAAUGUGAUAUGAAAGCGGUGGGAGAACUUAGCUGUUGUUCUGAUUGAGACAUGCUGAGGGACCAGUCUGCAAACAAAAAACUGUGAUAAAUGCAUACUGUUGCUUUUUGUCUUAUUUCAGGACUGUAUUGCGUAGUUGUAGAUAAAGUACCUUGUGAUGUGAUGUGUAUGUGACUGUGAAAGAGAUGAAUGCUUCCAAACUUUCAAAACUGUUGGAUUCCCACUCACACCCCAUUCUUUUAUAUUUCCUGCUGUCCAGUAAUUGGUCAACUUUGAAAUCUUUUCAGAAAUCUUGUAAACUGAACAGUCAGCAAUCGCAGUAAAAUUUUGUUAACAAUCUAAAAUAGGCCAUCAAUUUAAAGAUCACAUACUUUGUGGUAAGAUUUUAAAGCAGAGGAACAGAGAUAAAAAUUUAUAUGGUUUUGAUAGUUUUAUUUAGGAUGUAAAUUUGAUUUCAGAUCCUUUAUAUGAACUAUUCUUUUAUGGUCAAGACAAAAUAGAGCGAUAAAAUGUGUGUGAGUGGAAUGGGUGUGUGGAAAUAAAAUGCAUAUAUGGAGGUAUUGUAUACUGCAUUUGCAUGAGGAGUGAAAGGAUAAAACAUAAUUUUUAUCAUUAUAUUCUAGUUUUUAUUUACAACAUUUAUUUCCUUACAAGAUUUGUAUGCUUUUACUACUGAAUGUGGGCUUAAUUAUGGCAAACUGUUUCUAUGGGAAAUUGGCCAAUACUUCACUAGCAUAUUAAAAGUGGGACAUUUUAUGGCAUAAUUCAUCUGACUUUCUAACACAAUGGCUCCAGCUGUCAAAUGUAGUUGACAUGCAGCUUUACACACAGUAAAUACCUUUGGUGAAGGGUGUUGACGCUUAUGUGUAUGCAAUGUAUUUGGAAAUAGCUGAACUUAAAAUUUAACCAACCAGGGUGAAGGCAGAGCUAGUCAUGGAUGGCCUUUAACCCAUGCCUGCUAUAAGACAUGUUGGAUUGUGUUGUUUUUGUUUGGUUUAUUUGCAUCAUGCUUACAGAGACUCCACUAUGGCUGUUUGCAUACCUUAGAGAUUAUGUUGAUAACAAGGUGUUCUGUCUGCGUAUCCAUGUGCGGUUUCAUAAAAUGAUUGUUGAAAGUUUUUUGUGUAGGAGAGAGUAAAAAGCAGCAGUCCUCAUUUUGGGUCAGCCAUGCAUCGUGUAAACAAAAUUUGUAAAAAUAGAGCACUAGCGUUGUAGCCAUGGUGAAGAUAGCAUUGGAGGACAGCAAGGAAUAAAAUAAGGUCAAACAGGAGAAGGGCACUUCUUGUUGCAGCCCUCUUUCCUCCAUCAUUCUGACUGAAGAAAUAAAUAAGAUGCAAAAGC